GUGCCCUUCGGGGUCACAUACGUUAACAUUGGAACGAUACAGAGAAGAUUAGCAUGGCCCCUGCACAAGGAUGACACGCUUACACUGGAGUGGUAGAUCUACGGAUCUUU
rnacentral:snRNA from 1 species